rnacentral:rRNA from 1 species
AUUGAACGCUGGCGGCAUGCUUUACACAUGCAAGUCGAACGGCAGCACGGGGGCAACCCUGGUGGCGAGUGGCGAACGGGUGAGUAAUAUAUCGGAACGUACCCGGAAAUGGGGGAUAACGUAGCGAAAGUUACGCUAAUACCGCAUAUGCCCUAAGGGGGAAAGCGGGGGAUUCGCAAGAACCUCGCGUUUUCGGAGCGGCCGAUAUCGGAUUAGCUAGUAGGUGAGGUAAAGGCUCACCUAGGCGACGAUCCGUAGCUGGUCUGAGAGGACGACCAGCCACACUGGAACUGAGACACGGUCCAGACUCCUACGGGAGGCAGCAGUGGGAAUUUUGGACAAUGGGCGCAAGCCUGAUCCAGCCAUGCCGCGUGAGUGAAGAAGGCC